rnacentral:sRNA from 1 species
UCCGCAACAGAACCAUCUCAAGUCUGACUGUUCGUUGGUGCUUAGGAUCCCCACCGGGUCCCUAGGGCCCCCACCGGGUCCCUAGGGCCUGUGCGUACCGCGCACCUGUGCACGUCCUGCGCGCAGCUGCAGGCGACUCCGCUCUGGCUCGUCGCUGCUGUUUCCUGCUGGGGGUGCCGACCCUGUCCCACGCUAGCUGGGUGACUUCCCCCAACCGCAGAGACAGCGGCGACCCGGGGCCUCAGACCUGCCCCCGCAUCCCGCCGGCGCCAGGCAGUGGGAAGUCAGGUUCUUCCGCCACCUCCCAGUCAGGACUCUGCCACCCUCCCUCAGGAUGCCUGAGGGCCCUGAGCUGCACCUGGCCAGCCAGUUUGUGAAUGAGGCCUGCAGGGCGCUGGUGUUCGGCGGCUGCGUGGAGAAGUCCUCUGUCAGCCGCAACCCUGAGGUGCCCUUUGAGAGCAGUGCCUACCGCAUCUCAGCUUCAGCCCGCGGCAAGGAGCUGCGCCUGAUACUGAGCCCUCUGCCUGGGGCCCAGCCCCCACAGGAGCCACUGGCCCUGGUCUUCCGCUUCGGCAUGUCCGGCUCUUUUCAGCUGGUGCCCCGCGAGGAGCUGCCACGCCAUGCCCACCUGCGCUUUUACACGGCCCCGCCUGGCCGCCGGCUCGCCCUAUGUUUCGUGGACAUCCGCCGGUUCGGCCGCUGGGACCUUGGGGGAAAGUGGCAGCCGGGCCGCGGGCCCUGUGUCUUGCAGGAGUACCAGCAGUUCAGGGAGAAUGUGCUACGAAACCUAGCGGAUAAGGCCUUUGACCGGCCCAUCUGCGAGGCCCUCCUGGACCAGAGGUUCUUCAAUGGCAUUGGCAACUAUCUGCGGGCAGAGAUCCUGUACCGGCUGAAGAUCCCCCCCUUUGAGAAGGCCCGCUCGGUCCUGGAGGCCCUGCAGCAGCACAGGCCGAGCCCGGAGCUGACCCUGAGCCAGAAGAUAAGGACCAAGCUGCAGAAUCCAGACCUGCUGGAGCUAUGUCACUCAGUGCCCAAGGAAGUGGUCCAGUUGGGUGAGGCCAAAGAUGGCAGCAACCUCUGGUUCAGCAAAUGAUUGUGUAACCCUGGGGCACUUGUCCCUCUCUGGACCUGAUUCACCGAUUUGGAAGUUUGUAGCCCUAGCUGAUACUCAAUGGACUAGGCCUCCUCACUUGUCAAUAGUGUUUCCAGGCUGGGCACAGUGGCUCAUGCCUGUAAUCACAGCACUUCGGGAGGCCGAGUGGGGUGGAUCACCUGAGGUCAGGAGUUCGAGACCAUCCUGGCCAACAUGGUGAAACCCCGUCUCUACUAAAAAUGCAAAAAAUUAGCCAGGUAUGGUGGCGGGCACCUGUAAUCUCAGCUACUCGGGAGGAUGAGGCAGGAAAAUCGCUUAAACCCAGGAGGUGGAGGUUGCAGUUGAGCUGAGAUCGUGCCAUUGCACUCCAGCCUGGGCAACAAGAGCAAAACUCCAUCUCAAAAAAAACAAAAACAAAAAAACAGUGUUUCCUCCAAGCUGCCCAUGAGACAGGCAGGACAAGGAUUCUUUUAUAUAUUUAUACACACACACACGCACGUGUAUAUAUAUUUUUGGUAGAGAUAGGAUCUUGCCAUUUUGCCUGGACUAGCCUCAAACUGGGCUCAAGUGAUCCUCCCACAUCUGCCUCUAAGUAGCUAGGACUACAGGCUCACACCACCACACCGGGCUAAUUGUUAAAAAUUUUUUUUGUAGAGACAGGGUCUCCCUAUGUUGCCCAGGCUGGUAUUGAACUCCUGGCCCCUAGGGAUUCUCCCAUCUAAGCUUCCCAAAGUGUCGGGAUUACAGGUGUGGCCACUGCACAGGGCCAGGACAAGGAUUCUUAAUCCCACUCCAGGAUGGGAAACCCAUGGCCGAGUGGGAAGAAACCAGCUGAGGUCACAUCACCAGAGGAGGGAGAGUGUGGCGCCUGACUCAGUCCAUCAGCUUGUGUAGCUGAGGUCUCGGCCAGGUCUAACCAGGCUCCCCACUCCUCCCAACCUGAGCCUGCCCUCUGAUCUCUGCCUGUUCCUCUGUCCCACAGGGGGCAAAGGCUACGGGUCAGAGAGCGGGGAGGAGGACUUUGCUGCCUUUCGAGCCUGGCUGCGCUGCUAUGGCAUGCCAGGCAUGAGCUCCCUGCAGGACCGGCAUGGCCGUACCAUCUGGUUCCAGGUUGGGCCCUACUGUUCACACAGGCAGAGACCCCAGGAGGCCGAUGGGUGGAAAUGUGGGGUCACAAUAACUGGGGUGGUGAUGCUCAGGGUCUGUCUAGACCCUCCAAGGACCACACUGUUCCUGAGGGUCACACCCCUCCCCUCCCAUGCGUCCCAGGGUUGCAGCUAGUGGAAGUAGCCCAAGGCAGGUAGCCCAAGUGAAAGUAGCCAAGAGCAGAGCAGCUUUGCUGAUGUGGACUCUUAACAUGGGGGAUGUCCUAGAGGCUUCCUAGUGGAGAAGCUACACUGAUCUGGAUGGGUGUGUGUGUGUCCUGCCUCUCCAAGGAAUACUGCCCCUGUGCCAACCCAGGCUGAUUCCUGAAUUAUCCCCAUCCCAUUUUAGGGGGAUCCUGGACCGUUGGCACCUAAAGGUAAGCUACUCCUAAUGUAAUAGGCUAAGAGAGCAGAAAGGACUUCACGCCUGCAAGGGCUACAGCACCCUUCUCCACCCUAUCCCCCUGCAACCCUGGGAGUCACCCCUGGGCAGGAUAGGACCCUCCAACUCCAACAGCAGUGUCCUGCAGGGCGCAAGUCCCGCAAAAAGAAAUCCAAGGCCACACAGCCGAGUCCUGAGGACAGAGUGGAGGACCCUUUGCCUCCAAGCAAGGCCCCUUCCAGGACACGAAGGGCAAAGAGAGACCUUCCUAAGAGGACUGCAACCCAGUGGCCUGAGGGGACCAGCCUCCAGCAGGACCCAGAAGCUCCCACAGUGCCCAAGAAGGGGAGGAGGAAGGGGCGACAGGCAGCCUCUGGCCACUGCAGACCCCGGAAGGUCAAGGCUGACAUCCCAUCCUUGGAACCAGAGGGGACCUCAGCCUCUUAGCAGGAGGCUCUCCUUGCUUGCACUCACCCUUUCUUAUUGUCUUGCCCUGCAUCUGGGGGUCUGAAUUUUUGGGAGCAGGCAAUAUCUGAAGGUGCAAACAGGCCCUACGGCUGUUCCCUGCACAACCCUCAUGGUUUUAAUUGUACCCCAUCUUCCACAUCUUUAAAGCUCAUGUGAAAAAUGCUGCAUUUUUAAUAAACUGAUAAAUUUG